rnacentral:tRNA from 1 species
UGAGGUAUAGCUCAGUGGUACAGCACUUGCCUAGUACACAUGAAGCCCUGGGUUCCAGCCCUAGUACCGUGG